rnacentral:rRNA from 1 species
AGAGUUUGAUCCUGGCUCAGAGCGAACGCUGGCGGCAGGCCUAACACAUGCAAGUCGAACGGAUCCUUCGGGGUUAGUGGCGGACGGGUGAGUAACACGUGGGAACGUGCCUUUAGGUUCGGAAUAAGCUCGGGAAACUGGGUCUAAUACCGAAUGUGCCCCCUGAUUAAUUUUGGGGUGGGAAAGAUUUAUCGCCUUUAGAGCGGCCCGCGUCUGAUUAGCUAGUUGGUGGUGUAAUGGACCACCAAGGCGACGAUCAGUAGCUGGUCUGAGAGGAUGACCAGCCACAUUGGGACUGAGACACGGCCCAAACUCCUACGGGAGGCAGCAGUGGGGAAUCUUGCGCAAUGGGCGAAAGCCUGACGCAGCCAUGCCGCGUGUAUGAUGAAGGUCUUAGGAUUGUAAAAUACUUUCACCGGUGAAGAUAAUGACUGUAGCCGGAGAAGAAGCCCCGGCUAACUUCGUGCCAGCCGCCGCGGUAAUUC